UACGUAGGGUGCAAGCGUUUAAUCGGAAUUACUGGGCGUAAAGCGUGCGCAGGCGGUUUUGUAAGUCUGUCGUGAAAUCCCCGGGCUCAACCUGGGAAUUGCGAUGGAGACUGCAAGGCUAGAAUCUGGCAGAGGGGGGUAGAAUUCCACGUGUAGCAGUGAAAUGCGUAGAGAUGUGGAGGAACACCGAUGGCGAAGGCAGCCCCCUGGGUCAAGAUUGACG
rnacentral:rRNA from 1 species